GACGAACCGUCCUAACGUUGUUCGGAUUCACUGGGCUUAAAGGGCGCGUAGGCGGGUGAGCAAGUCCGGGGUGAAAUCUUUCGGCUUAACCGGAAAACUGCCUUGGAUACUGCUCGUCUAGAGGGAGGUAGGGGUCUGCGGAACUUCCGGUGGAGCGGUGAAAUGCGUUGAUAUCGGAAGGAACGCCGGUGGCGAAAGCGGCGGACUGGACCUCUUCUGACGCUGAGGCGCGAAAGCCAGGGGAGCAAACGGG
rnacentral:rRNA from 1 species